CGCUUGGGUGAGCUCUGGGUUGGAAAACAUUCAAUGUAAUGACACCGUACUUGCACUUCUGCCAUUGUUAUUUAUAUCUGGUUAUACUGGAACCCAAGGAGAUGUUCACAGGAAAGCUGGAAAGCAAGCUAUGCAUCAUCAGCAUUGGGAGCAAGAGCCACAAACGUCAUUUUCAAGUUGGGAAGAAACUUAGAACCCGAGAAGCUACAGGAAUCAGCCCAGUCACAGAGCUUGGCUGCCAUCCACAUAAGAUGUAACUUGCUCCUCCCUGCCUUCCCAGCC